rnacentral:rRNA from 1 species
GCUAUACAUGCAGUCGAGCGAAUGGAUUAAGAGCUUGCUCUUAUGAAGUUAGCGGCGGACGGGUGAGUAACACGUGGGUAACCUGCCCAUAAGACUGGGAUAACUCCGGGAAACCGGGGCUAAUACCGGAUAACAUUUUGAACCGCAUGGUUCGAAAUUGAAAGGCGGCUUCGGCUGUCACUUAUGGAUGGACCCGCGUCGCAUUAGCUAGUUGGUGAGGUAACGGCUCACCAAGGCAACGAUGCGUAGCCGACCUGAGAGGGUGAUCGGCCACACUGGGACUGAGACACGGCCCAGACUCCUACGGGAGGCAGCAGUAGGGAAUCUUCCGCAAUGGACGAAAGUCUGACGGAGCAACGCCGCGUGAGUGAUGAAGGCUUUCGGGUCGUAAAACUCUGUUGUUAGGGAAGAACAAGUGCUAGUUGAAUAAGCUGGCACCUUGACGGUACCUAACCAGAAAGCCACGGCUAACUACGUGCCAGCAGCCGCGGUAAUACGUAGGUGGCAAGCGUUAUCCGGAAUUAUUGGGCGUAAAGCGCGCGCAGGUGGUUUCUUAAGUCUGAUGUGAAAGCCCACGGCUCAACCGUGGAGGGUCAUUGGAAACUGGGAGACUUGAGUGCAGAAGAGGAAAGUGGAAUUCCAUGUGUAGCGGUGAAAUGCGUAGAGAUAUGGAGGAACACCAGUGGCGAAGGCGACUUUCUGGUCUGUAACUGACACUGAGGCGCGAAAGCGUGGGGAGCAAACAGGAUUAGAUA